rnacentral:tRNA from 2 species
AAGACACUAGUAAAGACACUUACAUUGCCUUGUCAAGGCAAAAUCGUGGGUUAAAACCCCACGUGUCUUG